GCCCCGCCCCGCCCCGGCUCCGCCCCUCUCCCCGCCCUCCCGCCCGCGAACCGCCCCUCCCCCCCAGAGCCUAGCUCCAAAUAGCGUCGGCUAUAUCCGGGCCGUAGAAAGAAUCGCUAGCGGCGGCUCCGGCAGCUUCCGAAAACACCCGAAGCGAGGAUUUCACCGGCUUCCCAGGCUAUCGUAACUUUUCGGAAACUAGCUCUUCAACGUUCGGGUGUUUCCGUAGAUUCGACCCGCUCUUCGCUGCCGGCCCUAUCCAAGCAAUCGGCUACUUCCGACAAUCCUAAACGUCCCGCACUUCUGCGCUUUCUGAAGGUUUCCAGCGCUGGGUCUGGGAUCCAGCCAGAGGAUUAAACCCGAUGCCAAGCUUCGGCUCUCUCCGGACAGUGCACUCACUCCUCCCCAGCCGGUGAACUUCGGCUCCUUCCGCCACCGCUUCGUGAAGGCCUCACUCACGGGAGACAGCUUCGGUUUUUUCCGUCGGCGCUU